ACCUAUAAGUCGCUGAAUCAAAUUUUGAGCGGGGGAACCAUUUAACAGUCAGUUCAUGACUUUUUGGGGUGAAUCUUACCUUGUAAGAAGGGAUACUUCUUAGUCCCUAAUCCGGCAGCUAACCUCGUAAGCGUUUGAAGAAGAAGGG
rnacentral:sRNA from 2 species